GGAGGCUGGGAGGAGAGGAGAGGGGUUGGUCAGUGGAGAACUCCGAUUUCUUGAGCCAGGAGUGGAUUCCUGGACGGGGCCCCUGGCCAACGAGCUGCUGUGAAUGUUGCCCUGGCAGGAGACUGUGAGGGGCCUAUCUAAGUCCCCAGGAGCUGCAUUGGGAGAGUGCUCAUCAGAGUCCAUAACUGCGGAUCCUGUGAGAUCGAGUACUUUAUCUACUUUGUUUAUUCCUGAAUCCUCUCAAUGCCUAGAAGAGGGUCUGCCACAAGGAAAGGAACAUCCUUAUCUCCAAAGAGAAAGGGACCGAGAGAAGAAUCCUAACAAACAGGCCAUGCUAAGUUCCCCCAUUUUACCGCAAUGACCUCAUACUCCUUAACCUAUCCUGUUCCUCCAUGGCUGUCCAUCCAUCGUCAGACCUAGCGCUAAAGUCCACAGGUCUAACUGUUUCUUUGGGUCUUCAUUUCCUUAUGAAGGCUUUUGUGUUAUGUAAAAUUAAUUAAAUAAAUUUGUA
rnacentral:lncRNA from 1 species